rnacentral:rRNA from 1 species
AGCGAACGCUGGCGGCAGGCUUAACACAUGCAAGUCGAGCGGGCCCUUCGGGGUCAGCGGCGGACGGGUGAGUAACGCGUGGGAACGUGCCUUCUGGUCUGGAAUAACCCUGGGAAACUAGGGCUAAUACCGGAUACGCCCUUUUGGGGAAAGGUUUACUGCCGGAAGAUCGGCCCGCGUCUGAUUAGCUAGUUGGUGGGGUAACGGUCUACCAAGGCGACGAUCAGUAGCUGGUCUGAGAGGAUGAUCAGCCACACUGGGACUGAGACACGGCCCAGACUCCUACGGGAGGUAGCAGUGGGGAAUAUUGGACAAUGGGCGCAAGCCUGAUCCAGCCAUGCCGCGUGAGUGAUGAAGGCCUUAGGGUUGUAAAGCUCUUUUAUCCGGGACGAUAAUGACGGUACCGGAGGAAUAAGCCCCGGCUAACUUCGUG